ACGGGAGGCAGCAGUGGGGAAUAUUGCACAAUGGGGGAAACCCUGAUGCAGCGACGCCGCGUGAGUGAAGAAGUAUUUCGGUAUGUAAAGCUCUAUCAGCAGGGAAGAUAAUGACGGUACCUGACUAAGAAGCCCCGGCUAACUACGUGCCAGCAGCCGCGGUAAUACGUAGGGGGCAAGCGUUAUCCGGAUUUACUGGGUGUAAAGGGAGCGUAGGCGGCCAGACAAGUCUGAUGUGAAAGCCCGGGGCUUAACUCCGGGAUUGCAUUGGAAACUGCCAGGCUAGAGUGUCGGAGAGGUAAGUGGAAUUCCUAGUGUAGCGGUGAAAUGCAUAGAUAUUAGGAGGAACACCAGUGGCGAAGGCGGCUUGCUGGACGAUCACUGACGCUGAGGCUCGAAAGCGUGGGGAGCAAACAGGAUUAGAUACCCUGGUA
rnacentral:rRNA from 1 species